rnacentral:rRNA from 1 species
UUUCCCGGUUGAUCCUGCCGGGACCUGACUGCUAUCGGAUUGAUACUAAGCCAUGCGAGUCAUUGUAGCAAUACAAGGCAGACGGCUCAGUAACGCGUAGUCAACCUAACCUAUGGACGGGAAUAACCUCGGGAAACUGAGAAUAAUGCCCGAUAGAACACUACACCUGGGAUGGUUUGUGUUCCAAAUGAUUUAUCGCCGUAGGAUGGGACUGCGGCCUAUCAGUUUGUUGGUGAGGUAAUGGCCCACCAAGACUAUUACAGGUACGGGCUCUGAGAGGAGUAGCCCGGAGAUGGGUACUGAGACACGGACCCAGGCCCUAUGGGGCGCAGCAGGCGAGAAAACUUUGCAAUGUGCGAAAGCACGACAAGGUUAAUCCGAGUGGUUUCUGCUAAAGGAACCUUUUGUCGGUCCUAGAAACACCGAUGAAUAAGGGGUGGGCAAGUUCUGGUGUCAGCCGCCGCGGUAAAACCAGCACCUCAAGUGGUCAGGAUGAUUAUUGGGCCUAAAGCAUCCGUAGCCGGCUCUGUAAGUUUUCGGUUAAAUCUGUACGCUCAACGUACAGGCUGCCGGGAAUACUGCAGAGCUAGGGAGUGGGAGAGGUAGACGGUACUCGGUAGGAAGGGGUAAAAUCCUUUGAUCUAUUGAUGACCACCUGUGGCGAAGGCGGUCUACCAGAACACGUCCGACGGUGAGGGAUGAAAGCUGGGGGAGCAAACCGGAUUAGAUACCCGGGUAGUCCCAGCUGUAAACUAUGCAAACUCAGUGAUGCAUUGACUUGUGGUCAAUGCAGUGCUGCAGGGAAGCCGUUAAGUUUGCCGCCUGGGAAGUACGUACGCAAGUAUGAAACUUAAAGGAAUUGGCGGGGGAGCACCACAAGGGGUGAAGCCUGCGGUUCAAUUGGAUUCAACGCCGGG